UGGAUCAGUGAUGAUAACUGCUGGUGUAUGACUCAUGGAUAACGAAUAAUAUGUGUCUGGAACUCUGAGGUUCAA
ensembl:snoRNA